GAAGAGGAAAGGGGAGGGCGAAGGCGGCGAGGCGAGAGGGCAGAGGUUGGAGGCGAGACGAGGGCGGCGGAAGUGGGAGCCGGGAUCUGAAUCAGUUACCCAAAUUUCUGAAAGAGGCGCCGCAGAUCUGGUUCUGUCUCCCUCCCCCUGCUUUGUCAAGCAAUGAGCCCUAAUUAAUGAGAAUAGAGGCGAGCGAACUGGAAGAGGAAAGGGGAGGGCGGAGGCGGUGUGUGGAAGCGGCGAGGCGAGAGGGCGGAGGUUGGAGGCGAGAUGAGGGCGGCGGAGGUGGGAGCUGGGAUCUAAAUCAGUUCUCUCAAAACUAAUUGUCGUGCCAACUGCCAAUCGCCGCCGGCGUCGGGGACUCGGGGUGGAGUCACGAGGCUCGGGCAAGGCGACCGUUGACUGGUUUGCUGGCGCCGGAGGUCGAGGUGACGGGACUCAAAAAAGCUUCACUAUCGCCGCAAAACUCCAAUUCCCGGCGAUGACACGCUGGAAAUCCGAUUGCCACCUCGGAUUCAAUUUGGGGAAAAAAUGGACGCGGGGGAAAAUUACAAUUAAGUUUUCAAUUCAUGGAUUUCUGUUCAGACUUUUUUUGUCAUGGGAAAUAACCAAAAAUCGAAAAAGUAUAUGGUUUUUCCGGCAAUUAACCCUUUUAU
rnacentral:lncRNA from 1 species